rnacentral:rRNA from 1 species
CCAGAAUACUACAAGCAACAGCUUGAAACUCAAAGGACUUGACGGUGCUUUACAUCCCCCUAGAGGAGCCUGUUCCAUAAUCGAUAAACCCCGAUCCACCCUACCCUCUCUUGCUCAGCCUAUAUACCGCCAUCUUCAGCAAACCCUAAUGAAGGCCACAAAGUGAGCGCAAACGCCGCCGCCGCGAAUACGUUAGGUCAAGGUGUAGCCCAUGAGACGGUAAAAAAUGGGCUACAUUUUCUAUUUCAGAAAACCCACGAAAACCCUUAUGAAACUUAAGGGUCCAAGGAGGAUUUAGCAGUAAAUUAAGAAUAGAGUGCUUAAUUGAACCAGGCCAUAAAGCGCGCACACACCGCCCGUCACUCCUCUCAAAUAUAUUUAAGGAAUAUCCUAACUAAACGCCCUAAUAUUUAUAUAGAGAGGAUAAGUCGUAACAUGGUAAGCGUACUGGAAGGUGCGCUUGGAUAAAU